AUGCCCUUUAUUUCUUUCUCUUAUGUGAUUGCUCUAGCUGUAUUUAGUUUGUUAUUGUUACUGGUGGUUUUUGACACAGUAUCUCACACUGUCCUUGAGGCUGGAGUUCCAUGGCACAAUCUUGACUCACUUCAACCUCCCGCUCCUGAGCUCAGGCGAUCCUCCCACUUCAGCCUCCCAGUAGCUGAGACUACAGGUCUGUACCACCACAUCCAGCUAAUUUUUGUAUUUUUCGUAGAGACAGGGCUUCGUCAUCUUGCCCAGGCUUCUCUCAAACUCAUGGGUUUAAAUAAUCCACCUACCUUGGCCUCCCAACCUGCUGGGCUUAUAGGCGAGCUACCACACCUGGCCCUUUUGGGGCUUUUUUGAGACAAGGUCUUGCUCUGUCACCCAGACUGGAGUUGCAGUGGCAAAUCAAGGCUCACUGCAGUCUUGACCUCUCCGGGCUCAAGUGAUCCUUCCACCUCAGCAUCCCGAGUAGCUGGGAGCACAGGUGUGCACCACCAUGCUCAACUAACUUUUUAAAAAAUGUUUUUUUUUUUUUUUUUUUUUUUUUUUUUGAGACGGAGUCUCGCUCUGUCACCCAGGCUGGAGUGCAGUGGCCGGAUCUCAGCUCACUGCAAGCUCCACCUCCCGGGUUCACGCCAUUCUCCUGCCUCAGCCUCCCGAGUAGCUGGGGCUACAGGCGCCCGCCACCUCGCCCGGCUAAGUUUUUGUAUUUUUAGUAGAGACGGGGUUUCACUGUGUUAGCCAGGAUGGUCUCGAUCUCCUGACCUCGUGAUCCGCCCGUCUCGGCCUCCCAAAGUGCUGGGAUUACAGGCUUGAGCCACCGCGCCCGGCCGUAAAAAAUGUUUUUGUAGAGAUGGGGGUCUCACUACAUUGCCCAGGCUGGUCUUGAACUCCUCAGCUCAAGCGAGCCUCCUGCCUUGGCCUCCCAAAUCAUUGAGAUUACAAGCAUGAGCCACCACACCCAGCCUAUUUAGUUUCAAUUAUUCUUGAAAGUUAUAAAAAUAGUAUCAUGCAUGUAGGUAGUGAUCUGGAACUUGUUCUUUCCACUCUGCAUUAUGUUAUAAGGACUCAUGCAUGUUAUAACAUAGCUGUCAUUCAUUUUCACUCUAGAAUAUUCCAUUGCAUGAACAGGCAUUUGGGUUAUGGCCAGCAGAAGCCAGUCUUUUUUUUUUUUUUUUUUUUUUAAGGAGUUUUUUUUUUUUUUGAGACGGAGUUUCGCUCUUGUUGCCCAGGCUGGAGUGCAAUGGCAUGAUUUCGGCUCACUGCAACCUCUGCCUCCCAGGUUCAAGCGAUUCUCCUGCCUCAGCCUCCCUAGUAGCUGGGAUUACAGGCAUGUGGCACCACACCAAGCUAAUUUUGUAUUUUUAGUAGAGACAGGGUUUCUCCAUGUUGGUCAGGCUGGUCUCGAACUCCUGACCUCAGGUGAUCCACCGCCUCGGCCUCAUAAAGUGCUGGGAUUACAGGCAUGAGUCACCGCACCCAGCUAGAAGCCAGUCUUUAGAUGUCCCCUGGGUUAAAUCACUUAGGAGAUCAAUACACACAGAAAGGUUUUGCCCUUGUAAAAUAACCAGGAGCCAGAAGCAGGGACCAUGUUGCCCUUCCAUUCAUGGAGCACCCACACUGAACCAGGCACCAUGCUGUAAACACCUGUGAACUCCUUUUCCUGUGUGAGUAGACAGAACCAAGGUCUGCCCAUUGUCUCUUCAGGGUUCCCAGUGAUGCCAGGAAAUAGACAAGCAUUGCAGCAAAGCAAAGAUCUGGUGUCAGUGUCCUCCCAGUGAGAUCGAUAGAUCUGGCAGUGAGUGUUGUGUACGUGGUGCGGAC
rnacentral:lncRNA from 1 species